UUUGCGUCGUGUUUGCAUUUUUCCGUCGCCAUUUCGUACGUAUUUUUGUUAGUUGUCUCCCGUCAAGUUGGUUCUUUAUUUUAUGUUCCGGCCUCUGCACGUGCGUUUGUUUGCUCGGACAGCUGGAGCGUAAGAUGUCUCACGUCCUUGCGAAGUGAGUUGACGAUAACAAGUGGGACGUGUAUCCCGUGAAUGCUUUGGCCGACACGGAUGUGGCCUGCCGUCUCAUAUCGCAGCAGGGGUCAAUUAAAGAAGUAUUCAACUCAUCAGUUGGAAAGAAGGAGCGCCACCGGACCCGGCAGUACUCCUUGCCUUCGUCGGUGCUACUGGAGAGGAGCGCAGCGUCAGAGGGAAGAUCAACCCAUGCAGCACCUGUACUGUUCAGGUAAAGGCACUUCAAGAAGAAAAUCGGGAAUUAAAAGAUGAAGUGGAACAUAUGAAGCGGAUGGCAGAAAAACACGAUUACAUUUCUGGUGGACAUUGGGGCCGGUGUGAGUGUUGAACAAGGCACCCUAGAGAAGCUAUGCUAAGCAUGCGAAAGUGGCCUUGGCAAAUUUGCCAGGGCUCUUUUGUGAAAUGUAUUCACCCCAGAGGAGCUACGGUACGAACCGCUCCUGGGUGAGAAGAGCAACUUGCACUUAAACCAGCCAUUCAAGGAGGCCUUGGACCCUAUUCGUA